GGCUUUUGAUGACGUCGGUGAAUCCGUCCUCAGCGGCAUUUUCUGGGGUCUCCUGCAGACCCCUCAGCUGUGCCAUAACCAAACGCCACGUGCCUCAGCUUCCUCACGCCCCAAACUUUGGAAGGCAGGUCACAUGGAAUCUACACAUGGAAGGACAUAGGCAUUGCAUGCAGGUAUCCGGAAUCAUUGAUAUUGGUCUUAAAAUUUGGAAGUUUCCACUUUUGUUAAGACUGCCAUUUAUAAUGAGCCCUACGGAGAGGCCAUGUGGCAAGAAGCUGAGGCUGCCAGAGGGAAUCUGAGGCCUGCCAGCAACCACAUACAUGAGUUUGGAAGUUAAUUCUUCAGCUUCCUUUGAGUCUUGAGGUAGCUACAGCCUGGCCAGAACUUGACUAAACUUCAUAAGGGACACUGAGCCAGAAACACCUAACUAAGCAAAUUCUGGUUUUAUGACCUUCAGAAAUUGUGUGAAAUAAUAAAUAUUUGUUGUUUUCAUUA
rnacentral:lncRNA from 1 species